AAAUUGAAGAGUUUGAUCAUGGCUCAGAUUGAACGCUGGCGGCAGGCCUAACACAUGCAAGUCGAACGGUAACAGGAAGAAGCUUGCUUCUUUGCUGACGAGUGGCGGACGGGUGAGUAAUGUCUGGGAAGCUGCCUGAUGGAGGGGGAUAACUACUGGAAACGGUAGCUAAUACCGCAUAACGUCGCAAGACCAAAGAGGGGGACCUUCGGGCCUCUUGCCAUCGGAUGUGCCCAGAUGGGAUUAGCUUGUUGGUGGGGUAACGGCUCACCAAGGCGACGAUCCCUAGCUGGUCUGAGAGGAUGACCAGCCACACUGGAACUGAGACACGGUCCAGACUCCUACGGGAGGCAGCAGUGGGGAAUAUUGCACAAUGGGCGCAAGCCUGAUGCAGCCAUGCCGCGUGUAUGAAGAAGGCCUUCGGGUUGUAAAGUACUUUCAGCGGGGAGGAAGGGAGUAAAGUUAAUACCUUUGCUCAUUGACGUUACCCGCAGAAGAAGCACCGGCUAACUCCGUGCCAGCAGCCGCGGUAAUACGGAGGGUGCAAGCGUUAAUCGGAAUUACUGGGCGUAAAGCGCACGCAGGCGGUUUGUUAAGUCAGAUGUGAAAUCCCCGGGCUCAACCUGGGAACUGCAUCUGAUACUGGCAAGCUUGAGUCUCGUAGAGGGGGGUAGAAUUCCAGGUGUAGCGGUGAAAUGCGUAGAGAUCUGGAGGAAUACCGGUGGCGAAGGCGGCCCCCUGGACGAAGACUGACGCUCAGGUGCGAAAGCGUGGGGAGCAAACAGGAUUAGAUACCCUGGUAGUCCACGCCGUAAACGAUGUCGACUUGGAGGUUGUGCCCUUGAGGCGUGGCUUCCGGAGCUAACGCGUUAAGUCGACCGCCUGGGGAGUACGGCCGCAAGGUUAAAACUCAAAUGAAUUGACGGGGGCCCGCACAAGCGGUGGAGCAUGUGGUUUAAUUCGAUGCAACGCGAAGAACCUUACCUGGUCUUGACAUCCACGGAAGUUUUCAGAGAUGAGAAUGUGCCUUCGGGAACCGUGAGACAGGUGCUGCAUGGCUGUCGUCAGCUCGUGUUGUGAAAUGUUGGGUUAAGUCCCGCAACGAGCGCAACCCUUAUCCUUUGUUGCCAGCGGUCCGGCCGGGAACUCAAAGGAGACUGCCAGUGAUAAACUGGAGGAAGGUGGGGAUGACGUCAAGUCAUCAUGGCCCUUACGACCAGGGCUACACACGUGCUACAAUGGCGCAUACAAAGAGAAGCGACCUCGCGAGAGCAAGCGGACCUCAUAAAGUGCGUCGUAGUCCGGAUUGGAGUCUGCAACUCGACUCCAUGAAGUCGGAAUCGCUAGUAAUCGUGGAUCAGAAUGCCACGGUGAAUACGUUCCCGGGCCUUGUACACACCGCCCGUCACACCAUGGGAGUGGGUUGCAAAAGAAGUAGGUAGCUUAACCUUCGGGAGGGCGCUUACCACUUUGUGAUUCAUGACUGGGGUGAAGUCGUAACAAGGUAACCGUAGGGGAACCUGCGGUUGGAUCACCUCCUUACCUUAAAGAAGC
rnacentral:rRNA from 1 species